UCCCUGUUGGCUCAGAUGGUAUAAAGAAUCUGCAUGCAAUGCAGGAGACCCAGGUUUUUUCCCUGGAUUGGGAA
rnacentral:tRNA from 1 species